ACACUAAGGGUGACGAUUCUUGUGUGUUAAUAUGCUCAUAUUUAUUGUUUAAAGCUUUACAUUAUUUAUGUCACAUUGAUCAUGAGAUUGUGGGAGGUAUACAAUCUAGUUGCUAUACUUGUGGAGUUUGACAUAGACUCACUCUUGCUAUUUUCCCCAAACCUCAGGAGAAGUUUAGGCUUGUGAUCAACCAGUCAGUUGGAUCCUGUAGAAAAAAGUUAAUACCCAAAGUUGGAGUUAUCUAUCCGCUGUAUGCUAUUAAAGGUUAUCUCUUUUAUACGGAGUACGGUAUAUAUUUAUGCAUUGUGUUUUGAUAUUACCCCUUAUUUGUAGCUAUAUGUGAGAUUUGGCUUCUAAGACUCACAUAUGGUGCAUAUCUGGUUUUGUCCUUAAAAUCGGGUAUUACAGAUGUUUAUGCUAACACUUAACUAGUUCCACAAAGCUUUGUUGUCUAUUUGAGCUCCACAGGAUUCAAGGAUCAAAGAAGACUAGCAGAUGGAGGACAUCCUAAUCGCUGUCAGGGUGCUGCCGACAUUCAAUUACACCUCCACCACCUGCUAGCUACAUCAGAAGAAAUUGCAUCAACAUCCAGCUUGGGGGAGAGCACCCUCAUUUAUCCAGCUAAGUAUUCUACUCACGUUUAUACUUUACUCUAACAAUAAAAUGAUGCAUAAUCAUAAGAACCCAAAUAAAGAUUUUGUGCUUAUAUAUAUAUCUUUGCUUAGUUUGCUAAAUAAAUAGAUAAAUAAAGUUUGCUAUGAACUCUCAUGAUAAGCUCUCACAUGGAAAUGAUGAAUAGUUGCUCUGCCAUUACUAGUUCUCAAAAUUGAAAUCUCUCUCAAGUUUAGGCAUGACUGUUAUUAAUUAAAAUUUGCUCUAAACCUGAACUUGUGGGGAGAGUACUUGAUCUAAAGUCUAAGUCGUUAACAGAUAUGAUAUGGGAAGGUUGAGCUACUGUUUAUCUGUUCCUAGAGAUGCUAGAAUUCUGGAGAAUUUUAUCUUUGAAAAUCAUUAAAAUGUUGCAUGAUGAGUUCCUGUAUGAUGAGAGUUUAAAUUCCUACCACAGCCAUAUAUACAUGCUUAUUAGACUAUGAACCACAUAUCUACUUUACUGCUUAUGAGCAUUGAGUGUGGUCAAGCUGUGUAGACCCUUAGGAGCUUGUCAUGUGGUUAAAAUCAAGAUUCACUUGCACAUUCACUCACACAUGCUGCUUCUACUCUGGAAGUACGCAUCCACAUAUAUCCACCCAUUUCCAUAUCCAGAACUACCCAAAAAUAUUCUACUCCUAAUCCGGGAGAGAAUAGCCAAAAACAUUCUCCUAUUUCUGUUCUUCCCUAUGAAAUAAAUGCUCGAGUUAUCUUGGUUACUACCACUUGCUAUAUUAUUUCAGGAGAUGAGUGCUCUAAAAAAAGAAGAGAAAAAAAGUGAAUACGAGGAAAUAAAAAGGGGCAAGUGCCCGGAACCUCGAAAGAAAAGAACAAGUGAGACGAGAGGUAAAAAUGGACAAGUGUCCAACAGUAGAAUUAGGGGUACAAGAUACCCACCUGAGAGAAAAGAAAAAGAAAAUAUAGAGCAUCUCAUUCUCCUCAAAAAGUUUUAAAAGAGCAAGAAAGGUAUGUACCCCUUCAAAAGAGCAUAAGUAGAAUUAGACUUUCACUAUUGUUAUCACCAUCAUCACCAUACACCAUUCAUUCGCCACACAUGCACAUCUUGAUUUGACUUAUUGACUUGUUUCUUUUGGAUCCAUGGUUUGACUAUGCAAUAAAUGUCUUGUAAGUAUGUAUUAGCUGUCUCCCACCUAUGAGCUCCAGAUAUCAAAACCUUAUUAGAGUAGGGUGAGAGAGAAGGCAAUGACACUAUGCUUCAUACCACAAAUACUACAUAUUUUGAGAGAAGGCAUAUACCAUUACUGCCUUGGUAAGGAUCCAGAAAUACCACAAAAGAGAGACUAGAGAGAGUCAUACAAGGAAUCUCUGAGUUUUAUUUGAAAAUCUGCAAAAACUCCAGAGCUAUAGUUAAUCGAACAACAAGAGACAUGGCGCUUGACUAGACCGUUCUAUCUUUUAACUGCUCAAGACACAAGUGACGGUUGCAAGCCCCAUGGUGGAAGGUAAAAUGAGUAAGUUUUGAAUCUUAACAGUUUACCCUAACCCAGAGAUGAGAUCUUGUUUGAACGCAUGUGUAUCUUUAAGGUAUGAAACCAC
rnacentral:lncRNA from 1 species